UGACAUUUGGGGCCGUAUCGAUGGUAA
rnacentral:sRNA from 1 species